UACGUAGGGGGGCAAGCGUUGUCCGGAAUCAUUGGGCGUAAAGAGCGUGUAGGCGGCCCGGUAAGUCCGCUGUGAAAGUCCAGGGCUCAACCCUGGGAUGCCGGUGGAUACUGUCGGGCUCGAGUCCGGAAGAGGAGUGUGGAAUUCCGGGUGUAGCGGUGGAAUGCGUAGAGAUCCGGAAGAACACCGGUGGCGAAGGCGGCCCACUGGAUCGGUACUGACGCUGAGGUGCGAAAGCGUGGGGAGCAAACAGG
rnacentral:rRNA from 1 species